rnacentral:lncRNA from 1 species
UACCCCGCGGGGAGGCAGCUAAGGCCCGGCGAGAAGUCGAGCACAGCAGCUGCUGGACCGGGUGCUAAGCCCCUCACUGCCCCGGGCGCGGGGCCGGCUGGCCGCUCCGAGUGCUGGGCCUGGGAGGCCACGCCCACCCGGAACUUGCCCUAGUCCGCAAGCGCAGCGUGCAGCCUGGGUUCCCGCCCGCGCCUCUCCCGCCACACCUCCCUGCAAGCUGAGGGAGCCGGCUCCUGCCUUGGCCAGGCUAGAAAGGGGCUCCCACAGUGCAGGGGCGGGCUGAAGGGCUCCUCAAGUGCCACCAAAGUGGGAGCCCAGGCAGAGGAGGUGCCGAGAGCGAGCGAGGGCUGCGAGGACUGCCAGCAGCUGUCACCUCUCGUUACCAUCACUCCUAGUGACCAUUUCGGAUAAUCCACCUUGCCUCAUCAAACCAGAAAACAAUUCAAACCUGGCCUCCUUCUAACUGGAAGCCACAUUUUAAGAACUUAUUGUGAAGAACUGGAAAGCCUCCAAUAGGACCCAUUAUACAGGCUGCCUUUCCAGCUCUCCAAUCAUACUUCCAAGAAAACUGCUCACUCUCAGAACCAAGGUUCAAGUUGUACAUUGGGAUUUGGGUAGAGCACGGGACCUGGCAUGGAGCAGCAUUCAAAAUAUUGGGUAGAAGGAAAAAGGAAGAAAGAAGGGAAGGACAGGGAAGCAAGGAAAUAAAGGAAAUCAGGCUAUAUAUACAGUGAUGCCCAUCUACCCCUGAGAUCUAAAAAUCUAAGAUGAAAACGAGCACACAGUCUUGGCAGCAUUGGGGUAACAGACUAUGAAAGAAGAAAUCAGAUUGGAAAAUUCAGUAUAUCAAUGAAGAAAAUAAUCACUCAAGGAGAGGAAUAAACAGCAAAACAAUCUAUAUAUUUAAUUAUAGAUACAAUUGUUUCAAUGCUGAUUAUUCAUCCUUAUAUAACUGUCUACAGCUAUUUAGGGUUGUCUUCAUCCAUUUUGUGUUGCCAUUGCAGAAUACGUGAAACUGGGUAAUUUGUAAAGAAAAGAGAUUUUUUAACUUAUGGGUUCUGCAGGAUGGGAAGUUCAAGAAACAUGACACCAGCAUCUGCUUGGUUUCUGUUGAGGACUUUCAUGCUUAUAUCACAACAUGGCAGAAGGUUAAAGGGGGAGUAGACAUGUGCAAAUAGGCAAAACCUGAGGGGCAUCUUGGCUUUAUAACAACCCACUCUUGGAGGACUAAUUCAUUCUUGAGAGAACUAAUCUGGUCUUGCCAGAGAAAAAAUUCACUCACUGCCUACUGUGAGAAUAGCACUAAGCCAUCCAUGAGAGUGGAGCCCCAUCACUCAAACACCUCCCAUUAGGCUCUACAGCUUACAGAUUAUACCUCCUAACAUUGCCACAGUGGGAAACAAAUUUCAAGAUGAGAUUUGGUGGGGACAGACCAUAUCUAAACAAAGAGUAAACAAGGGUAAACAACUUUUGAGAACAUACUUGUGAUCCUUUAUUUCAACCCAGAAUGAUGCCAGAAUUUUGGAGAUGGGGCUCAGAGCAAAUCAGUAAGUUACAAUUCUCAAGUUUCACAGGGAAGUGGGAGUGAGAGACACAUCAUGGAGGACCACGCGACUCUCAGUUACACUGGGUGAAUUGUCUUCAUUGAAUUCCCGCACCAUGCAGACUCAUUUAACGGUAGUUCUUCCAAAGCUGCUUUUCUGCUUUGCUUUUGGAAUACUACUUUAUCUAAAUUUUCAUCUACCCUUUCAAUUCCUAUGCUUCUUGUGUUGAUUUCUCUUUUCCGACUUCUCAGAUUUUUAAUCUCAUUUUUAAACAUGAGAAUUCUCUGAGGUCUAUUUCUUGACCCUUUGUCCUCUUUUUAACUAUCCCUUGGGAAACUUGCACAAUCUAAAUGACUAACUAGAACUUAUGAGAUUAUGAGCCAGAUCUCUCCCUGCUUAUGAGCCCAUUUCAAUUAGAUGUCUCAGCAUCAUUGUAAGUUAAAAUGCAUAAAAUCCAAAACAAUAAAUUUUUCUCAAACCAAUGUUAUAUCUGAAAUGGUUAUUUCAAUGACUUUAAUGACUUUCAAUAACUUCAAUGACCUUAGCUUCUUUCUGUUCUUUCCACAAGCUAGUGCUUUAAUUUUUUAAGAAUAAACUUAACAGAUGAAAUGAUAAAGACAUAAUUUUUAUGUUGUGUUAUACUCUUGAUGGAAAUAUUUCCAAAUCUUUUGAAUGAAGAGCUUUGAAGAAAAACCUG